AUUGAACGCUGGCGGCAUGCCUUACACAUGCAAGUCGAACGGUAACGCGGGGCAACCUGGCGACGAGUGGCGAACGGGUGAGGAAUGCAUCGGAACGUGCCCAGUAGUGGGGGAUAGCCCGGCGAAAGCCGGAUUAAUACCGCAUACGACCUACGGGUGAAAGGGGGGGAUCGCAAGACCUCUCGCAAUGGGAGCGGCCGAUGUCAGAUUAGGUAGUUGGUGGGGUAAAGGCCUACCAAGCGGACGAUCUGUAGCUGGUCUGAGAGGACGACCAGCCACACUGGGACUGAGACACGGCCCAGACUCCUACGGGAGGCAGCAGUGGGGAAUUUUGGACAAUGGGCGCAAGCCUGAUCCAGCCAUGCCGCGUGCGGGAAGAAGGCCUUCGGGUUGUAAACCGCUUUUGUCAGGGAAGAAAUCUUCUGGGUUAAUACCUCGGGAGGAUGACGGUACCUGAAGAAUAAGCACCGGCUAACUACGUGCCAGCCGCCGCAGUAACAC
rnacentral:rRNA from 1 species